ensembl:lncRNA
AGCAGUGUCUGGGGGGGGCGGGUUGGAGAUCUAGCUCGUCACCCCAGCCAUAACUAGUGGGGGUCGAAAGCAAAGAUCAGCACACAAGGGGCUACGGGAGGUUGGGGAGGGGAACAGCUCACUCCCCUAACAUAUUAACAAGGGGACCAAAGUGAAGCAGACUAAUGCAUCCCCCAAGCAGAUUGAAACGUAUCUCCUAGGACCCAGAGCUCUGAAACUGGUGCCUAGGGUGUGCUUUGCUCUGGGUGGGAGGAGGUGAGCAGCCGGGUUCUUCUUGUCACUCUAGGUUGAAGCUGCAACACAGAUGGAACAAAAUGAAGGGUGAAUCCCAGUGGGAAGCCAGUCUGCAGUGAGAAGGAAAGGCCCAUGAAUCAGCUUGCGAAGACCUUUACCACCCACCCACAUGCAACAAGGGACACUUCGUUGCUCAUCUGGCAGCAGCAGCAGCAGAAGUUGGAGUCUGUCCCGCCUGGUACAUACUUGAGUAGAAGCCGGAGUAUGUGGUACUCGCAGUAUGGUAAUGAGGCCAUCCUGGUACGGGACAAAAACACACUGGAUGUCUCCAGAGACACUGGGCAAUCAAAGUUUUGCAUUAUUAUGUAAUUUUAAAGGCUUAGUGUCAGAGAUCUGUACAUGGCAAACAAAUACAUGAAAGAACCUGUGCUGGGCCUCAGGCAAGUUCUAAACAACAUUUUCAUUCAAUAUUAAUGGCAGGGUUGGUUACAUUGUGUCCCAUCACUGCUGACUAUCAGAUAAUUGGGAUCAACCUACCAAGGUUCAGUGUAGUACGAAGAGAUGAAGACUGGGGACUCCUUACUAGAGGAGAAAGCCAAAAUCAAGGGAUCAGGCUAAAAAAAAAAAAAAAAAAGAAGACGUACUGCCUUCCUUGUGUGUCUAACUGCUUUAUGCCUGACCUACCCUCUGAUUGAGUACCAAUGUAACUCUUUCAGUUAUGGGUGUGAUUUUGUUACUGAAAUCAUUAUAUCAGUAUAGUCCCUAGUGUGAACACACAUUGGUAUAAACCUGUCUUACACCUGUAUAGCUUAUUCCCCUUCCCUUACAAGAAUAGCUAGUCUGGCAUAAGCAAGUUUAUACCAAUAUAAUAGCAUCAGAGGCCAGGGGCGAUUGUACCAUUUUAACUAUACCACUAUCAUUAAAGCAGUACAACUUUUGCGUGUGGACUAGCCCUUAGACGAUUAUUAAAACAGAAAGGAUGUUUGAAGUUUAAAUUUAUUUUCACCGUUUAUGCCACUGAUUUAUGUUACCUAUGUCAUUGAAACUGAAUGAUGAAAAUAGCCUAGUCAGUUUCACUUGCCAGUCCUUAUACACUAGCAAAAUUCAGCAAUGGCGGCCUUGCAAAUGCAGCUAGGGAAUGUUGGAGUCCAAACUGUUUUCAUUUGAAAUCAUUCUUCAGAAUGUCUCUAGUGAGAUUGUUCUGCAAAAAUACACAGAACCUUCAUUUUGGACUUUUCCUGUCCCCUUUUCAUAUGUUCCCUAUAAAUGGUCUCUUACAAUCUCAAUUCAUGAUCUGGCAGUUGAGUUGAAUAAUUUACAGUAUUAAGCAGAAUAGGGAAAGGAGGUGCUGAAUGAAGUUACAUUUGGG